AUAACAUCAGCUCUUUUUUAUGUUUUAAAAAUAGGAUAAAAUAGAAACAUAGAAACUUAGAAUGUAACGGCAGAUAGGAACAAUUCGGCCCAUCUAGUCUGCCCAAUUUUCUAAAUACUUUCAUUAGUACCUGGCUUUAUCUCAAGUAUAGGAUAUCCUUAUGCCUAUACCACACAUGCUUAAACAUCUACCACUUUAGCUGGAAGGCUAUUCCA